AUUGAACGCUGGCGGCAGGCCUAACACAUGCAAGUCGAACGAGUGGCGGACGGGUGAGUAAUGUCUGGGAAACUGCCUGAUGGAGGGGGAUAACUACUGGAAACGGUAGCUAAUACCGCAUACCAUCAGAUGUGCCCAGAUGGGAUUAGCUAGUUGGUGGGGUAACGGCUCACCAAGGCGACGAUCCCUAGCUGGUCUGAGAGGAUGACCAGCCACCCUGCAAACGAGCCUCGGUCUAGAAGCCCUUGGUAGGAAGCAGUGGGGAAUACUGCAAAAGGGGCCCAAGCUUGAAGCAGCCAUUCCACGUGUAUUAGCAAGGCUUCCGGGUUGUAAAGUACGCCCAGCGGGGAGGCGUUACCCGCAGAAGAAGCACCGGCUAACUCCGGUCUAGUAGCCGCGGCAAUAC
rnacentral:rRNA from 1 species